GAUGAACGCUGGCGGCGUGCCUAAUACAUGCAAGUCGAGCGAACAGACGAGGAGCUUGCUCCUUUGACGUUAGCGGCGGACGGGUGAGUAACGCGUAGGUAACCUACCUAUAAGACUGGGAUAACUUCGGGAAACCGGAGCUAAUACCGGAUAAUAUUUCGAACCGCAUGGUUCGAUAGUGAAAGAUGGCUUUGCUAUCACUUAUAGAUGGACCUGCGCCGUAUUAGCUAGUUGGUAAGGUAACGGCUUACCAAGGCAACGAUACGUAGCCGACCUGAGAGGGGGAUCGGCCACACUGGAACUGAGACACGGUCCAGACGCCUACGGGAGGCAGCAGUAGGGAAUCUGCCGCAAUGGGCGAAAGCAUGACGGAGCAGCGCGGCGUGAGUGAUGAAGGUCUUCGGAGCGUAAAACUCUGUUAUGAGGGAAGAACAAACGUGUAAGUAACUGUGCACGUCUUGACGGUACCUAAUCAGAAAGCCACGGCUAACUACGUG
rnacentral:rRNA from 1 species